rnacentral:lncRNA from 1 species
GACUUACCAAGCAGACAUUCAUAGGAUGAAUUGGAGGAACAUGAAUCAGCAAGUGUUUUUGGCUAACUCUCUCCUAGGUGAGUUAAAUUCUCACAUAGAUCUGUUAUGAUUUGGUGCUCUCUCUUUGAACAUCACGCAACUCUAGUAGUACUAAGUUUUCUUAUGCCCAAAUUUCCUUUGAUCCAGGUGAAUUUAGUACUGAAUUCAGGUCGUGGAGCGCAUGGGAUAUGAUAUGGUCUAUUCUGGUGACAUGCCUGCUCUAGUAGUCGCGGAGUUCUUCGCUGAGACGCAAAGUAGCUUAACAUGUCGUCUUUGGUCUGUAAGAUGGUGAAUGGUAUCGGUCGCUUAGUUUGUAUUCCUCCUCAGAUGGAAUGCUGAUACUCAGAGUAGUGUUGUCUUGGUUGAUGGUGAUGCUGCCAGACUUUCAAGUGAUCCCUUGAAUCUGCUAGAAUGAUAUGAAGCUCUUGAGUGAUUUAUUGCUUCUUCCUUUCACUCAAG